rnacentral:rRNA from 1 species
GGGGAUGCGUCUGAUUAGAUAGUAGGCGGGGUAACGGCCCACCUAGUCUACGAUCAGUAGGGGUUCUGAGAGGAAGGUCCCCCACAUUGGAACUGAGACACGGUCCAAACUCCUACGGGAGGCAGCAGUGAGGAAUAUUGGUCAAAUGGGCGAGAGCCUGAACCAGCCAAGUAGCGUGCAGGAUGACGGCCCUAUGGGUUGUAAACUGCUUUUAUGCGGGGAUAAAGUUCACUACGUGUAGUGUUUUGUAGGUACCGCAUGAAUAAGGACCGGCUAAUUCCGUGCCAGCAGCCGCGGUAAUACGGAAGGUCCGGGCGUUAUCCGGAUUUAUUGGGUUUAAAGGGAGCGCAGGCCGGAGGUCAAGCGUGACGUGAAAUGUAGCCGCUCAACGGCUGAACUGCGUCGCGAACUGGCUUUCUUGAGUGAGUUCGAUGUGGGCGGAAUUCGUGGUGUAGCGGUGAAAUGCUUAGAUAUCACGAAGAACUCCGAUUGCGAAGGCAGCCCACAAGGCCUUUACUGACGCUAAAGCUCGAAGGUGCGGGUAUCGAACAGGAUUAGAUACCCUGGUAGUCCGCACGGUAAACGAUGGAUGCCCGCUGUUUGCGAUAUACUGUGAGCGGCCAAGAGAAAUCGUUAAGCAUCCCACCUGGGGAGUACGCCGGCAACGGUGAAACUCAAAGGAAUUGACGGGGGCCCGCACAAGCGGAGGAACAUGUGGUUUAAUUCGGUGAUACGCGAGGAACCUUACCCGGGCUUGAACUGCAGCGGAAGGAUACAGAGAUGUUGACGCCCUUCGGGGCCGCUGUGGAGGUGCUGCAUGGUUGUCGUCAGCUCGUGCCGUGAGGUGUCGGCUUAAGUGCCAUAACGAGCGCAACCCUUUUCUUCAGUUGCCAUCAGGUCAUGCUGGGCACUCUGGAGACACUGCCACCGUAAGGUGUGAGGAAGGUGGGGAUGACGUCAAAUCAGCACGGCCCUUACGUCCGGGGCUACACACGUGUUACAAUGGGUGGUACAGAGAGUCGGUCGUCUGCAAAUGCGAUCCAAUCCUUAAAGCCAUCCUCAGUUCGGAUUGGGGUCUGCAACCCGACCCCAUGAAGCUGGAUUCGCUAGUAAUCGCGCAUCAGCCAUGGCGCGGUGAAUACGAUGCCGGGCCUUGCACACACCGCCCGUCAAG